GAUGAACGCUAGCGACAGGCUUAACACAUGCAAGUCGAGGGACCGGCGCACGGGUGAGUAACACGUAUCCAACCCGCCCUUUACUCGGGGAUAGCCUUGCGAAAGAAAGAUUAAUACCCCAUAUAAAGGAUGGGGAUGCGUUCCAUUAGGUUGUUGGUGAGGUAACAGCUCACCAACGCUUCGAUGGAUAGGGGUUCUGAGAGGAAGGUACCCCGGAUUUGAAAUAAGACACGGACCCAACUGCUACGCGAGGCUGCGGUGAGGAAUAUUGGUCGAUGAGCGCUAGCCUAGACCAGCCACGUGGAGGAAGGGAUGAAGGCUUGUGAGUCGUCUACUACUUGUAUGUAAGAAAAGGUAUUAUAUGAAUAAGGAUCGGCUAACUCCGUGCCAGCAGCCGCGGUAAUUC
rnacentral:rRNA from 1 species